UACGUAGGAGGCGAGCGUUGUCCGGAUUUACUGGGCGUAAGGGCGCGCAGGCGGCCUUGCAAGUAGCGUGUGAAAUCCACCUGCUCAACGGGUGGGGUGCAUGGUAGACUGCAGGGCUAGAGGACGGUAGAGGGGGGUGGAAUUGCUGGUGUAGCGGUGAAAUGCGUAGAGAUCAGCAGGAACACCCGUGGCGAAGGCGGCCCCCUGGGCCGUACCUGACGCUGAGGCGCGAAGGCUAGGGGAGCGAACGGG
rnacentral:rRNA from 1 species